ACUCUUUACCAGCUGAGCUACCAGGGACACCCAUGUCCCAUUAUAUUUAGUGGUAAAUCUUAAAAGAAAUGCUAUGUAAGACUCCCUAUAUUUCAUUUCUUUGUCAAUUUCUAACUGAAGCUUGGUGUUGAUCAAAGAAAAUAAGUGUAAUGAUCAUGAUGUCACUGUAUGUUUUCCUUAAUUUAUCUCCAUAGGAAACUAUUCUUGGCUGAAUAACAUGGUGGUGACGAUGGAAACUAUACUUUAAGUAGCCACACCCAGGAGCAUUCCAUAUCCCUUACACAACCAUGUUCUUUGAUCACAAUAAAGAAAAUAAUUUGAAAUGAAAAUAUGUUUCCCCCAAAGAUGAAAUCAAGGCAACAGAAAAGAAGUUCAAGAAAUAAAGAUAUAUAUUCGUGUCUGACUCAUCGAGCUCUCCAAAGCUAUCAAAAGAAAAUUAGAGUGCAUGGUUUACCAAAACAAAAUCUUCUUUAGAUAUUGUUUGCAGCUAUUUGAAUAACUAGUGAACUGCAAGCUUUUGGUAUGAAAUCCUUCUUUUUAAAUAGAGAUAUUAUUGACAUGUAAUUUCUUUUUCAGCCUGCUGCUGCUGCUGCUAAGCCACUUCAGUCGUGUCCAACUCUGUGUGACCCCAUAGACGGCAGUCCACCAGGCUCCCCUGUCCCUGGGAUUCUCCAGGCAAGAACACUGGAGUGGGUUGCCAUUUCCUUCUCCAAUAUAUGAAAGUGAAAAGUGAAAGCGAAGUCGCUCAGUCGUGUCCAACUCUUUGCGACUCUAUUAAUGGAUCCCAGAUCACAGACAAAGCCAUUGAAGCUUUAGUUAAAAAGCAUGGAAACAGAGUCUCCACAAAAUAGAAGUAUUUGGCUGCCUUGCUCUUACUGCCAGGAGUGUGGGCUCCCUGGCCUCGAAGUGUUCACACCUUCAGAUCCUGAAUAUUGGGAGAGUCCCCAAGGUCUCUAAGGCCUGCCUGGUCAGGAGCCUGGAGAACUUACAAGAGGUGACUGCCCUUAAUGUUGCUGGCCUCAAAAUGAUGAGACUUCUUGGACUCAGACUGACAUUUUCAUUGGUUUCCACCUGCCUAAGUUUUCAGAACAUAAAACUAAAUAAUGCUUCCA